UACGUAGGGCGCGAGCGUUGUCCGGAAUUAUUGGGCGUAAAGAGCUCGUAGGCGGUCUGUCACGUCGGCUGUGAAAUCCCGAGGCUCAACCUCGGGUCUGCAGUCGAUACGGGCAAACUAGAGUAUUGCAGGGGAGACUGGAAUUCCUGGUGUAGCGGUGAAAUGCGCAGAUAUCAGGAGGAAGACCAGUGGCGAAGGCGGGGCUCUGGACAGUUCCUGACGCUGAGGCACGAAGGUCAGGGGAGCAAACGGG
rnacentral:rRNA from 1 species